GCUCGGCUCAGCCCCGGCAGCGAGCAGGGGCGCAGAGUGGGAAAGUAGGAAUUGGAACCGGCUGUGGCUGCCUCCCAGCCACAUGGGUUGCAGAUAGAGCUGCUCAUCGGGGAGGGGGAAGGGAACAGAAGUAAACUAGACGUCGUCUGCCCGCCCCACCUCUUUUUUUUUUUUUUUUUUUUUUUUUCCCUUGUAUUUAGAAACCUGCCAAAAGCAAUAGUUACGGUUUACCACGGACUGAGGACUUUUCUUUGUGUUGAGCAAAUGGCAAUCAGAGGACUAAGCCUCCUGUAGUACAUAAAGGAAUGAAUUUUCAUUCUUUCUCUGUACCGUCCUGCCCACUAGGUUCCCGAAAACGCUGCCAAUGAGGAUGCAAUUGAACAUGGCUCCAGCUCCAUGAGGGGCUCGUCAGAAUGAUCCAGAUGUUCUUCAGAAAUUCCCCUUUUAAAGAUUCUUCUUGCCCAGUAGUUUUGGCUUCUGCUGAGCUGCGGCUCUCGUGUCUACAUGCCUCCCUGCUCAGACAGUGUCUCUCCCAAUUCAAGUGGUCUGUUGCAGUGUCCAUCUCCUGUGGUCUUCUGCCGUCCUUGCUUGUUUUCCUGAGUGUCAGGAAGAACCAUUCUUAUGCUUUGAUUUUGUUGCCCUUGAAAAUCAGCCCUGUUGUCCUUCACGGCAGUAUUCCGCAUGUCCUGCCAUACAGGUCCCUGAACAAGGCAAGAUCUGCCUUCUUAAAUGCCAGGAUAGUAAUUUUUGAAAUUUAUCUUGCUCACUUGACUCAGGAUUUUAAACUCUGUAGUCAUUGCAGGUAAGGUUUCCCUCAACUUUCACAUCUCCAGCUGGUUCUUGCCUCUUCAUGGAAGCAGGUCCAACAGAGAACCUACUUAGCUUGUCAGUUAUCUGUAUCAAAAAAUUGUCAUCAGUACGUGCUCCCCACUUAAAUAGUUUUAAAUAAUUGAAAACUCUGUACUAGCCCCUGAACUGAAGUCACUAAGGAGUCACUGGAGUCACUAAGGUGACUCAGCCUACCUUAGACAUUAUUAGACCCACGUGCUUGUAUGUUUUCAUAAAUAAAUAUCUGACCUAAAGUCCUGGAUGGUUUUUA
rnacentral:lncRNA from 1 species